rnacentral:rRNA from 1 species
GACGAACGCUGGCGGCGUGCCUAAUACAUGCAAGUCGAGCGCAGGAAAUCGACGGAACCCUUCGGGGGGAAGUCGAUGGAAUGAGCGGCGGACGGGUGAGUAACACGUAAAGAACCUGCCCUCAGGUCUGGGAUAACCACGAGAAAUCGGGGCUAAUACCGGAUGGGUCAUCGGACCGCAUGGUCCGAGGAUGAAAGGCGCUUCGGCGUCGCCUGGGGAUAGCUUUGCGGUGCAUUAGCUAGUUGGUGGGGUAAUGGCCCACCAAGGCGACGAUGCAUAGCCGACCUGAGAGGGUGAUCGGCCACACUGGGACUGAGACACGGCCCAGACUCCUACGGGAGGCAGCAGUAGGGAAUCUUCCACAAUGGACGAAAGUCUGAUGGAGCAACGCCGCGUGAACGAUGAAGGCCUUCGGGUCGUAAAGUUCUGUUGUAAGGGAAGAACAAGUGCCGCGGGCAAUGGCGGCACCUUGACGGUACCUUGCGAGAAAGCCACGGCUAACUACGUGCCAGCCGCCGCAGUAA